rnacentral:rRNA from 1 species
GAUGAACGCUGGCGGCGUGCUUAACACAUGCAAGUCGAACGAAGAAGCCCAGCUUUCUGGGUGGAUUAGUUGCGAACGGGUGAGUAACACGUGAGUAACCUGCCCUUAACUCUGGGAUAGGCCUGGUAAACUGGGUCUAAUACCCGAUAGGAGCUUCCACCGCAGGGUGGGUUUUGGAAAGAUGUAUCGGUUUUGGAUGGACUCGCGGCCUAUCAGCUUGUUGGUGAGUUAAUGGCUCACCAAGGCGACGACGGGUAGCCGGCCUGAGAGGGUGACCGGCCACACUGGGACUGAGGAACGGCUCAGAGUCCUACGGGAGGCAGUAGUUGGGAAUAUUGCACAGUGGGCGCGAGCCUGAUGCAGCGACGCUGCGUUAGUGAUGACGGCCUUCGGGUUGUAAACCUCUUUCAGUAGGGAAGAAGAGAGCGUGACGGUACCUGCAGAGGAAGCACCGGCUAACUACGUG